UACAGAGGGUGCAAGCGUUAAUCGGAUUUAUUGGGUUUAAAGGGUCCGUAGGCGGAUCUGUAAGUCAGUGGUGAAAUCUCACAGCUUAACUGUGAAACUGCCAUUGAUACUGCAGGUCUUGAGUAAAUUUGAAGUGGCUGGAAUAAGUAGUGUAGCGGUGAAAUGCAUAGAUAUUACUUAGAACACCAAUUGCGAAGGCAGGUCACUAAGAUUUAACUGACGCUGAUGGACGAAAGCGUGGGGAGCGAACAGG
rnacentral:rRNA from 1 species